UGAAGCCCGUGCAACUUCUAGAUAAAAAUAGACUUUUUUAUGCCUUUAAGGGUGGAGGUAUUAGAAAUGACUUCGUAUCAAGGCCAAAUUUUUUAAUUUAGAAACUUGUUUCAAUAAUAUUGUAAAGUCCAAACAAAUAAAAUAGAGUUUCUCUAAAAAUCUAUAAAAGAGCUCAAAUUUAAUGGCAGUAUUUGGAAUUACGUACAAACGAUAACUAGGGAAUAGAAUAGCGAAAUGUUCUCGAAGAUAAUGAAGAUACUACUAUUCUUUCUGUUCAAUUUUCUGUUUCUCUUGGAGGUGUCGCCCGCUGCUGUGAUGGUUUCGGGAGGUGGUGGAGAUUUUGAUGGAAUAUCAAUUGGUCCUGUGCCCGUCCCAUCGGCAUCCGUACCCGCAAUAACCAUUUUAACUGUUCCAAGAAAGACGUCAUACGGAAAAUUUAAUCAUUGGCAUUAAAAAGCUUGAUUGCUUAUGCAUGUGCAUCGUGUAGACUCUGUUGCGAAAAAGCAAAGUAACAGUGAACUACACAUAAUUUUAAAAAAGUGAACUACUUGUUUACCGAUAUGUAUCAAACAAUAUAUCUAUCAAUGAAUGGUUUUCUAAUUCUUGUAAAUGCAUACUUUAAACUUUCUUGGUGAUUGUAAACAUUUAAAAAAUAAAUUUGUAAAAAUACAUAAAUUCAUAAAA